CUUCCGAGCCGCCGUAGCGCGAGCCGCGGGAGUUCGGCAGCUCCAGUCGCCAAGGCAACGGGCUUCGCUGCGCUCGGCGGGCGCCAGGCAGCCCGGGGGAGGCGCUGCGGGCCAGCGGCCCGGGCUCGGCUGGCGGCGGGACGGCAGAUGAGGAAAUUGAAGAUCAAAGGAUUUAAGAAACCUCCCAGCUCCUACAUCUAAUGAAUUCCGGAGUUCGAAUCCAGAAUUUCCAUAUUGAUUAGUCAACAGUGGAAAAUCUGAAGAGAUGCGAGCUGGAAAAAGAAACUAAACCAGGCCUGAAGAGUGAUGCGACAGGCAUGAUGGAGGUCGAGUCCUCCUACUCGGACUUCAUCUCCUGUGACCGGACGGGCCGCCGGAACGCAGUCCCUGACAUCCAGGGAGACUCCGAGGCCGUAAGCGUACGGAAGCUGGCUGGCGACAUGGGCGAGCUAGCCCUCGAGGGCGCAGAAGGACAGGCGGAGGUGGGCACCCCAGACAAGGAAGGUAGCAACCAGCCCAAGAGCAGCGAUGGGACCACCUCAUCUUGAACAUGACCUUGCCCGAGGAGGCUGGAAGAGUGACGCGCCGUGGACGGAAGCCCUGGCACUGGCCCAGCAGCCUUUCCUCUGAGCAAUGUGUUCCAGCAAAAGCAGGGGCUGGGCCUUGUUCCCCCAAGGCCAUGAUUAGCUGGGACCCAUUGCUGCCCCAGGCUUCCACGGAAUGAAGGACCUGAGAAGAUGCCGGGGUACCGCAGAGGCCAGCACCACACCUCAGGCCAGUAUCUGAAGAAUCAUCUUCCAUCUUACCCUCUCUCACCCCAAUUCACAGCUUUGGGAACAAACAAAAGGAAGGUUUCCCCACUUAGGACCUGGAGUAGGAGGGGGUUAAGAGUUCAGGGAGCAUUUAAGCAGAUGAGCCUUCAAGAGAAGCCUGGUUUCUUCUGGACGGAGAGUAGGCUUUGGGCCCCGCUUUGCCCCCCAUUCCCAUUCACAGAGCCCACCAGGCUCUCGGGACCCUGCUGCUGGGCAGGCUGCCUGCGUCUGGGGGCCCCAGGGGCUCCUUCCGUUCUCCACAAACCCAAGUUGGCCCGCUCUGACCGCAGCGCCCCACACCACAUGCUGCACAACCCCAGCUGUUGUUUUCUUUAUUAAGCACCAGAUUUUCAGCACAGGUUACCAGAGGAGGGAGGGAUUCAGAUUCAACCAGCCACAGGCCCUGAUCCUGGCCCGGGCACACAAUCAGAGGAGAGACACGGCCAGGCGGAGGUAUACGUGUGUACAGAAACAGGCAUGUGGGCUUCACGAGCGUCAGUAGCUGACUCUGGAAAUCAUGGUCUCCCUGGAAGGAGUAAAGGGAGUUGUGAGGACUCCAUCCACAGGGUGAGGACUCAGAGGUGGCCACGAUGUCUUCAGGGACACUGCCCUGCUUGCCAAGAGAAGCAGAAAGGUGAGGCAACUUGUAGUACCCAGAACAUUAAAAAAAAAAUCACAGACCAUCAGAGCCAGAGAGGAACUUCUUUCUACAGAUGGGGAGACUGAGGCUUAGAGCAAGGAAAGGCUCUGUCAAGGCCACACAGGAAGGAAGGAAGCAGAACCUAGCUGCACCCUGGGCUCAACUCCCUGCCCUUGGCUUUGGGCAGCCCUGGAGAUGCCCCAAGUUGCCAAGACCUUGGGAGGGGCUUGAGAAAGGCUCCUCCUCAGACCAGCCUCACAGCAUUAUGCAGGAAGUGAGCCUGUGCAGUGAGGGAGGACCACCAGCCAGGAAGGCAUCACGCAUCCCUGGUGCUGCCCAGGAGAGGAAGGGAGGGCAUCUUGCUAGAAGUCCCUGGAAAGACAGGUGGGAGCCAGGGCAGGGCACCAGCCCAGCAGCUCCAUCAGAAACAUACCUGCAGAGGCCAAAGGUGGCAUCCCGUAGGCUUUAUAGAGCAGAUCAAGAAGCUCCCUCUUCUCAUCUUCUGGGAGGAAACUGGACUUUGCCGCAUUGAUGUUCUGGAAGGGCCAGCACGGCAGACAGUGUGAAACCAGAGAGCAUAGGAGGGAGUCCUUAGCAAUCUAGUGACAGUCCAUUAAACAUGGGCAAUUCAUUAAGCUCAGAGUGGCGAGGCCUUGUCCAAGGUCACGCGGCAGCACCCGCCAGAGCAGAGACUGUGAGGUUCUGGGUUCUUAACGUGGCACGACGUGAUACACAGAUGUGGCAGGGAGGUUGGAGAAACCUUUGAGAGACGGGGUGGGAUGUGUGGCGCCAGAGAGACAGUCCUGCAGGGACAGACUUGGGAUGUCAGAACCACGGAAAUCAAGGGCUCAUCCUGGGGUCUCUGAGUGGCCUGAAAAGUGUGUGCAAAAUGUAUAGCUGAGCACACCUUUCUGGGGAGAUGGUUGACAGCUUUCAGAGUCUUUCAAGGCACUUGACCGAAGCAGAGGAUAAAAAACCCAGUCCUAGGUCAGGAUCUCAGCCGAAGAUGUCUUCUCCGUGGAAGGCAUCGAACUCCAGGUCUGCCUUGGCCUGGCCUGUUGCAGCAGACUCACCCCUCAUUCUCCAGGGCUUCCGGGCCCUGGACAGGACCUGCAGGCCUCACACACUCCCAGGGCCCAGAGUCAAGGCACACACCCACUCACCAGUCUCUUAAACUCCUCUUCAGUGAAGCCCAUGUCCUGUUUGGUCAUCUGGUAAUCAGUGUCCAGGGUGGACUUGAAGAUGAGUGGGUCAUCCGUGUUGAGGGAGUAAUUAGCCUGGUCGUUUUUGAACCUGGACAAUGCAGGGGGGUGGGGGGGAGGGGGAGAAGCGCCUCCCAUUACUGCUGUGUAAAGUCUCUGCACGUGGACAUCCACACUCCUUUGAACCGCGCGGCACCCUUAGACAGGCCUGGAGGUUCUCUUCGUUGUACAGAGGAAGACACAAGUUCAGGGAACUCGGGUGACUUGUCCAAGGCCACAUUACUAGCAACUCAAGACUUAAAGCCAUCCAGCCAGGCCAGAGCCAGGCAAAGGCAGGAGAGGGGCCGGCUUGGCGAGGCCAGAAAAGCAACAGCCCGCUCUAGCUACCCCCUCUCUGGCCCUGCCCUCCACAGCCGCACUCUGCGAGUCGUCUGCCCCUUCACCAACCGUCCUCAGCCCCCCUGGGAUCUGACUCUUCAGACACGCCAUGGGGACUGUUCUUAGCAUAAUCCCUGGCCACCAUCUUAUUAAAUCCAAUGGACUUUUCCUAGCUCUAACCUCACCCGACUUGUGGAGCAGAAUUUUAUACUGUUGACCUUUUCCCUAGAUUUCUUGGACACCGCACUCUUGGCUUUCCUCCUGCCUGUGCCUUCAAUGUCACUGUCCUGGAUUCUCUCCUAGGCCCUCUUUUUUUCUAUU